rnacentral:misc_RNA from 1 species
UGGAAUUUAACACGACCACUGUAGGAAGAAUAAAAAUGUCAGAAUAUACAUAUAUAUUUUGCAUUUUCAAUGUACCAACUCUAAAGUCUAAACAACAGUGCCAUUUAGUGAUGGAUUUUCAACAUUAUGCAUUUAGCACCACCAUUAGAUGCUUAAUUUAACACAUUAUGAAAAAAGCAGCGCAAUUGGGAUAAUAGAAUGCAAAGCAACACUGCAUAAAUUAUACCAAAAAAUCAGAACUUCCUGACCAAGUUAAAACUUCUUAAUAGGACUCAACCACACAAAUCUAACCAGCUAUGGCAUGUAUUAAAACAAUGAAUACAAGAUUAGUGUUAUUAAAGGCGAUAAGAGGCGCUAGGCGAGGCGCCAGGAG